CCGAGCCUCGAGCUACGGCAGUGCUGUAGGGAAACUGUCAAGUCCGCCGCCUGGGGAGUAUGGUCGCAAGGCUGAAACUUAAAGGAAUUGGCGGGGGAGCACCACAAGGGGUGGAUGCUGCGGUUCAAUUGGAUACAACCCCGGGAAACUUACCAGGGGCGACGGCACUAUGAAGGUCAGGCUGAAGGUCUUACCGGAGGAGCCGAGAGGUAGUGCAUGGCCGUCGUCAGCUCGUACCGUGAGGCGUACGGUUAAGUCCGUUAACGAGCGAGACCCGUACCCAUAUUUGCAAUCUUUCUCUACGGAGGAGGAGCACUAUAUGGGGACCGCUGGCGAUGAGUCAGAGGAAGGCGCGGGUGACGGUAGGUCUGUAUGCUCCGAAUCUCCUGGGCUACACGCGGCAUACAAUGGCACGGACAAUGGGUCGCCACCCCGAAAGGGGGAGCUAAUCCCUAAACCGUGUCCCAGUACGGAUUGAGGGUUGCAACUCACCCUCAUGAAGCUGAAAUCCCUAGUAAUCGCUUUUUACCAAAAAGCGGUGAAUGUGUCCCUGCUCCUUGCACACACCGCCCGUCACACCAACCGAGUGAACUCGAGGUGAGGCUGUCUCAUACCGGGAUGGUCGAAUCUGGGGUCUGCAAGGGGGGUGAAGUCGUAACAAGGUAGCC
rnacentral:rRNA from 1 species